UCUGGAGCUUAGGCAUCCUGAUAGUCUCCCCUUUGCUGCUUCCUCGAGGUAGGGGGAUAAUCAGCUGUCAAAGGGUCGGUCCGUCAUCCCUGAGGGGUCAUCUGCCUGUGCCAUGCUGAAUGGCAUGACUCUAAUAUGUCUUUCUUGCUUUUCUUCUUUUAAUUGUCUUACUUUAUCUUCUACUUACCAAUCCUCUGGACCAUAGAGCUGACCCAGGCCUAGUAUCUGGGGGAGAGAUUGACUGGGCAGUGGCCGGGAUCCUAGUGGUGCAGUGCUCCCUAUUUGCCUCCUCUUACCACGCACUGUGCUAAAGAUGUUCCAGAGGGGGAGGCGAAGCUGGCUAUGGAGGGACUGUGGGACGAUGAAUUCCUCGAUCUUGAAGAGAUUAUCGAGCCUUUCUUGAGGCCAAGACAGUCUGUGUACCCUUGACUCCCUUGGGUCCGGAGGUGUUGCCGCGGACUCUGGACCAUGACAUGGACCUCAGCCUUCCUAUACACUUUGACUAUGUAUCUUCCGAGGCCUAUGCUGAUAUCCGUCGGAUGCACCACAACUUGUAUAAGCAGCUGUAUCAGGAGACGAAGAAGACCUUGGCUCAGAAACUUCAUUCCGCAUUUGUUGUAUGCAUUUUAUCUUGAUAUGAGCAUUGAUUCAAUCUUAUGUACCCUAGGAGGCGGAGAUUUCUGAUCUUCAGCAGAGUUUGUGGGCCCUUCGGAUUUAGUUUGGUGUGGAGGUGGCCAGGGACGUGAUGAUCUCCACGGAUGAGCUCAGCUCCUCAGAUGACGAUGUCCAAUCUUAGAGCUUUUUCCUUUUUUUUUUUC